rnacentral:rRNA from 1 species
GAUGAACGCUGGCGGCAUGCCUAACACAUGCAAGUCGGACGGGAAGUGGUGGUUUCAGUGGCGGACGGGUGAGUAACGCGUAAGAACCUGCCCUGGGGAGGGGAACAACAGCUGGAAACGGUUCCUAAUCCCCCGUAGGUUGAGGAGCAAAAGGAGGAAUGCGCCGGAGGAGGGGCUGGCGUCUGAUUAGCUAGUUGGUGAGGCAAUAGCUUACCAAGGAGGUGAUCAGUAGAUGGUCCGAGAGGAUGAUCAGCCACACUGGGACGGAGACGCGGCCCAGACUCCUACGGGAGGCAGCAGUGGGGAAGAUUCAGCAAUGGGGGAAGGCCUGACGAAGCAAUGCGGCGGGGAGGUAGAAGGACCACGGGGGGUGGACUGCUUUUCCUGGAGAAGAUGCAAUGACGGUAUCUGGGGAAUAAGCAUCGGCUAACUCCGUG